GGGACUGUAGCUUAAUGGUAGAGUGCGCUGUUAUCCUUACUUUGUAAUCUCCCAGCGUGAUUUGAGGUUCGAUUCCCAACGGUCCCU